AAUCCGUGUUGCACUCCGGCUGAUAACUGCUCAACUCCAGGGGAAGCCGGUCGAAUUCCGGCGCUGACCCGCAACCGUAGGCCCGGGCUCGUCCCGGGUGAGCCGGAAUGCCUGGGGCUGGGCCACAAGUACGAA
rnacentral:ncRNA from 2 species